GACGAACGCUGGCGGCGUGCCUAAUACAUGCCAGUAGAACGCUGAAGGAGGAGCUUGCUCUUCUGGAUGAGUUGCGAACGGGUGAGUAACGCGUAGGUAACCUGCCUGGUAGCGGGGGAUAACUAUUGGAAACGAUAGCUAAUACCGCAUAACAGUAGAUGUUGCAUGACAUUUACUUAAAAGGUGCAAUUGCAUCACUACCAGAUGGACCUGCGUUGUAUUAGCUAGUUGGUGGGGUAACGGCUCACCAAGGCGACGAUACAUAGCCGACCUGAGAGGGUGAUCGGCCACACUGAGACUGAGACACGGCCCAGACUCCUACGGGAGGCAGCAGUAGGGAAUCUUCGGCAAUGGACGGAAGUCUGACCGAGCAACGCCGCGUGAGUGAAGAAGGUUUUCGGAUCGUAAAGCUCUGUUGUAAGAGAAGAACGAGUGUGAGAGUGGAAAGUUCACACUGUGACGGUAUCUUACCAGAAAGGGACGGCUAACUACGUG
rnacentral:rRNA from 1 species